rnacentral:rRNA from 1 species
CCUACGGGGGGCUGCAGUGAGGAAUAUUGGGCAAUGCCCGCAAGGGUGACCCAGCAACGCCGCGUGGAGGAUGAAGGCCGUAAGGUUGUAAACUCCUGUUAGAGGAGAAGAAUAGUACCGAUUGGAUCGGUAUUUGACUGUACCCUCAGAGAAAGCCCCGGCUAACUCCGUGCCAGCAGCCGCGGUAAUACGUAGGGGGCAGGCGUUGUCCGGAGUUACGGGGGCUAAAGGGCGCUAAGAAGUCAGAGGUGAAAUCCUACAGCUUAACUGUAGAACUGCCUUUGAUACUGUUAUUCUUGAGUUCGGGAGAGAGAGACGGAAUUCCAGGUGUAGUGGUGAAAUACGUAGAUAUCUGGAAGAACACCAGUUGCGAAGGCGGUCUCUUGGUCCGAUACUGACGCUGAGGCGCGAAAGCGUGGGGAGCAAACAGGAUUAGAUACCCCAGUAGUC